rnacentral:misc_RNA from 1 species
UCACGGUUUGCACCGGCAGUCUUGUUAGAGUUCCCGACAUUACUCGCUGGCAACUAACAACAGGGGUUGCGCUCGUUAUAGGACUUAACCUGACACCUCACGGCACGAGCUGACGACAACCAUGCAGCACCUUGUAAUCUGCCCGAAGGAAAAUCUGUUUCCAGACCUGUCAGACUACAUUUAAGCCCUGGUAAGGUUCUGCGCGUUGCUUCGAGUUAAACCACAUGCUCCACCGCUUGUGCGGGCCCCCGUCAAUUCCUUUGAGUUUCACCGUUGCCGGCGUACUCCCCAGGUGGGAUGCUUAAUGCUUUCGCUUGGCCGCUGACCUAUUCAGACCAACAGCGGGCAUCCAUCGUUUACCGUGCGGACUAC